CUUGUUCACCACCACCUACUGGCCACUUGAUCGGUGGCAGGCACUGGGCUACACAUCUUACAAGAUCUGCGAAAUCCUGGUGAAAACCAGCAUUCAAGGAAAGAAUUUAACAGUGAUCAGGACGCAAGCCAGAAGAGGCAGAAUUUCCAGCCUCCUGUCCCUCAUCUAAGAAAUGCAGAGACCAA